rnacentral:rRNA from 1 species
UACGAAGGGGGCUAGCGUUGCUCGGAAUCACUGGGCGUAAAGCGCACGUAGGCGGCUUUCUAAGUCAGGGGUGAAAUCCUGGAGCUCAACUCCAGAACUGCCUUUGAUACUGGCGAUCUCGAGUCCGGGAGAGGUGGGUGGAACUGCGAGUGUAGAGGUGAAAUUCGUAGAUAUUCGCAAGAACACCAGUGGCGAAGGCGGCUCACUGGCCCGGUACUGACGCUGAGGUGCGAAAGCGUGGGGAGCAAACAGG